AUCUGAAAUAUCGAGGCAAAGUUACGGUGGAACUGAAACCAGUCUCCACCGUUAUAUUUUCCUUUCUUAAUAUCUGAAAUAUCAAGGAUACAUUAAGAAUUUUGAGGUUCACGACCCACAUAGUGCGGAGAUUUGAGUGGGGUUAUGUCGUGAUUUCUACUCCAGAUGGUGUUUUGGAUAAUGAAGAAGCCAUUAGAAGGAAUGUAGGUGGGCAGGUUCUGGGUUAUUUUCAUUA